rnacentral:rRNA from 1 species
UACGAACUGUGCAAACGUUAUUCGGAUUCACUGGGCUUAAAGGGUGCGUAGGCGGCUUGCCAAGUCGGGUGUGAAAGCCCCCGGCUUAACCGGGGAAUUGCGCCCUAAACUGGCGAGCUGGAGUGAGAUAGGGGUGUGUGGAACUUCCGGUGGAGCGGUGAAAUGUGUUGAUAUCGGAAGGAACGCCGGUGGCGAAAGCGACACACUGGGUCUCAACUGACGCUGAGGCACGAAAGCCAGGGGAGCGAACGGG